CAGCCGCCGCGGUAAGACGAAGGUGGCGAGCGUUGUUCGGAAUCACUGGGCAUAAAGCGCACGUAGGCGGUGACGUAAGUCGGGUGUGAAAUCCCUCGGCCUAACCGAGGAACUGCGCCCGAUACUGCGUUGCUUGAGGAUCAGAGGGGUGCAUGGAAUUUCCGGUGGAGCGGUGAAAUGCGUUGAUAUCGGAAGGAACUCCGGCGGCGAAAGCGAUGCACUGGCUGAUUUCUGACGCUGAGGUGCGAAAGCCAGGGGAGCAAACGGGAUUAGAUACCCCAGUAGUCCCUGUCUCUUAUAC
rnacentral:rRNA from 1 species